rnacentral:tRNA from 1 species
AGUUAACGUAGCAAAGCCAGGCCUUGCUAAAGAUCUAAGCCCUUUCAACAGAGGUUCAAAUCCUCUCGUUAACU